AUUGAACGCUGGCGGCAUGCCUUACACAUGCAAGUCGAACGGUAACAGGUCUUCGGAUGCUGACGAGUGGCGAACGGGUGAGUAAUACAUCGGAACGUGCCCGAUCGUGGGGGAUAACGCAGCGAAAGCUGUGCUAAUACCGCAUACGAUCUACGGAUGAAAGCGGGGGAUCGCAAGACCUCGCGCGGACGGAGCGGCCGAUGGCAGAUUAGGUAGUUGGUGGGAUAAAAGCUUACCAAGCCGACGAUCUGUAGCUGGUCUGAGAGGACGACCAGCCACACUGGGACUGAGACACGGCCCAGACUCCUACGGGAGGCAGCAGUGGGGAAUUUUGGACAAUGGGGGAAACCCUGAUCCAGCCAUGCCGCGUGCAGGAUGAAGGCCUUCGGUUGUAAACUGCUUUGUACGGUAACGAAAGGUACGUUCUAAUAAAGAAGGGACGUCAUGACGGUACCGUAAGAAUAAGACACCGGCUAACUACGUGCCAGCAGCCGCGGUAAUACG
rnacentral:rRNA from 1 species